rnacentral:snoRNA from 1 species
UGUUAUUGACAAUGGGCAAAAAGACACCUUGUUGGUGGUGGUGUUCUUAUAUCAGUCUGGGACAGAGCAGAUGACAGCCCUUUGUUCAUCAUAGCUUGAUGCCUGGCUUGGUGGCCAAAGAUGUUUCAUGCCUAGGGCACAUAA